GAUGAACGCUAGCUACAGGCUUAACACAUGCAAGUCGAGGGGCAGCAUGGUCUUAGCUUGCUAAGGCUGAUGGCGACCGGCGCACGGGUGAGUAACACGUAUCCAACCUGCCGUCUACUCUUGGACAGCCUUCUGAAAGGAAGAUUAAUACAAGAUGGCAUCAUGAGUCCGCAUGUUCACAUGAUUAAAGGUAUUCCGGUAGACGAUGGGGAUGCGUUCCAUUAGAUAGUAGGCGGGGUAACGGCCCACCUAGUCUUCGAUGGAUAGGGGUUCUGAGAGGAAGGUCCCCCACAUUGGAACUGAGACACGGUCCAAACUCCUACGGGAGGCAGCAGUGAGGAAUAUUGGUCAAUGGGCGAGAGCCUGAACCAGCCAAGUAGCGUGAAGGAUGACUGCCCUAUGGGUUGUAAACUUCUUUUAUAAAGGAAUAAAGUCGGGUAUGGAUACCCGUUUGCAUGUACUUUAUGAAUAAGGAUCGGCUAACUCCGUGCCAGCAGCCGCGGUAAUACGGAGGAUCCGAGCGUUAUCCGGAUUUAUUGGGUUUAAAGGGAGCGUAGAUGGAUGUUUAAGUCAGUUGUGAAAGUUUGCGGCUCAACCGUAAAAUUGCAGUUGAUACUGGAUAUCUUGAGUGCAGUUGAGGCAGGCGGAAUUCGUGGUGUAGCGGUGAAAUGCUUAGAUAUCACGAAGAACUCCGAUUGCGAAGGCAGCCUGCUAAGCUGCAACUGACAUUGAGGCUCGAAAGUGUGGGUAUCAAACAGG
rnacentral:rRNA from 1 species